GUGAAUUGGAGUUUUUUUUUUUUUUAUUAAAGUGCACCCUCUCAUUACUGCUCCAUCACCAUUUACUUCCUCUUCUUCUUCCUCUGCUAGGGCACAACAACAACAUUGCAGCAUCCCAAAUUUUGUGCUCCUUCCUCUUCUUCUUCUGAACCUUCUCCCUUGUUGAUUCAAGCUCUCCCUCGCCGGUUUUCCUCUCUAAAAAUUGUCAGCAACAAAGGAGGGAUGGAUGUUUUGGUUGGUUUUGUUACUCUUUUCUCUCCUUUUAGUUUUUUUUGUGUGAAGAGGAGAACACAACGCCCUUUCCUCUCUUUCUCUCUCUAUCUCUCUCUAAAAAACCCACUUACACAACCCAUUCUCUUCACCCAUCCACCCAUUUUCUUCACCCAUCUACCCAUCACCCGAUAUUCACAACCGUGGCCCCACCCCUCGAACGUCAAACGGAUCCUAAGGCGACUCAGAUUGAGGUUGUGAAGCAGAUCAAUUUGGGGUCAUGUGAUCCUGAUAACACUUCAGUUGAAGUUAUUGCCUUCAGAUAUUGGGUAAGUCUGCUGAUUUCUUAUGAAAAUCUUCAAGGGUUCAUAAACUUAUUUCUCUAAAAAACUAAUAAAAUUGGUCACUUUAUCCCACAAGUAAGUUCUAAUUGUUAAGGAUGGUAGUGAAGAUUCUUGUGGUUGUUCACAACUUGAUCCAUACAAUUUCAUCAAGAACAGACGGAGAUUUUUUAUUAAGUGUUUCAAAAUUUAAUUUUCUCCAAUUUUUAAAUCCUCGAUCCUCGAAUUUCAUGAAAUUUAGAAUGUUCGAGUUCGAUUCUCUUUAGCUAGCAUGUUUAUCUAACUUUCAAUUGGUAUUGGAAUAUUCUUAGAACACAUAAUUUCAUUUGGUGCGGGGUGAUUUUUUGGUUGAAUGUUCUUGAAUAUGUAAAUUGGAACCCACUGUUUUUGGCAAAUUUUCAAAGCAAUUUUAGUUGUUUAAAGCUGUAGUUUCUAAGUUGUAAUUGUUCUCUUAUAUGUAAUAAAGCUUAUGUAAAAGUUUGGAAGUCAAUUGUGUUGUAAAUGGGAAGUUUCUGAAGGUCAAAGUUGCCAUGGUGGUGUUGUCGAAAAUAGAGGACAAAACUGGGCUGUACAUUGUUCUUCACGGCUUUUUCAUCUAUCAACUUUAGUUUUUGAGUCAAUCAAUAAUUUAACAAAUUGUUUGUUUGAUUGAUUAAUCCAAGAUGUACGAAUCCUCUAUAUAUCAAGGGAACAUUGUGGAUGACAUUAAAAGCAGAUAGUGUAUGUGUAAAUAGUGUCUUUUCUUUGACCCGUGUGGCAAAGGGUCUGUUGCAAUCUAUGAAAUUUUAUUCCUUUUGCAGUUUCAAUUUAUAGUAUAUUGUACUAUAUUCACGUACAAUUUCAUCAUGUUGUAUGUACCUUUCCAUAGGAUGGCCGUGUUUCCUUUAUUGGUUUGGGAGGAAGUGUUGAGAGAUAAAGUGCGUAAGUAUAACUAUUGAUGAACAACCAAUAGAGUUAUGAAUUCAAAUUCAAACUGUGUGGAGUGUUUUAGAAAUCAGGGAUAGGGUUUCCUUCCUAUAUUUGAGGUAAAUUUCUCUCAAUUCCAAUUUUGUUCCCUUCCUGUAUGAUCAUAAUAUGUUAAAACUUGCUUUAUUGCUAUAACUUAUAGGCUUGUUUUAUUUUUUCAUUAUUGUUAUAAGCUUUUUCAUCAAUCAUUGGUAACCUGUUCUUUUUAAGUCUUUUAUUUUAUUUUCUAGAUAAUUCUUUAUUGUCAAUCACAAUUAUAUCUUGUCCAGUUAUGUUGAAGCUAUUUAAGUUUUCCCUUAUGCUGACCAUAUCUUUGGAAAUCUAAUAUUAAAAGGCCAAUGGUAAUUGUUAGACCAAGUCUUGGUGCUGUUGUUGCUAUUCAUUUUGUUGUCAAUUAUCCAGAAGUUGUAUGUAUCUACCAGCUGGAAUUUAUGACUACAAAUUUAAAGUUAUAUCCUUAUGUAAAAUCAUUCCAAAGAGCCUUCCAUCGAAUAUAACGAGAUUAUUUCAGGUUGAUAGGCUUGUGUUGAUUGAUGCAAGUGUAUAUGCAAAAGGUACAGGAAACUUAGCUACCUUACCAAGAUUGAUUGCCUAUGCUGGGGUGAGACUUUGCUUACUUCUGUGAACAUUACAUCAAGUGUGCCAAUUAUUCCUAACACUUUUGAUGAGAGAUUGAUUUUAUGCAAUUACUAUUUACAAAACUACAAAAUUUACUUCAUUCGUACAUCCUUUCCUAUCCAUUUUACCAUACCAUUAUGGCAUCACUACAUGUUUUCAUGAUAAUUCUUCCGUUAAAAUCUUCUGAAAAAGAAUUGUCCUUCUAAUUUUUUAUCUAUAAAUUUAAUGUUGAGUAUUUCAUUCCUCGAUUUAACUCAAAAUGCUAUUAACUCAAUUGGAUUCAAAAGGAAAUCUUUGGGUAAAUAAUUAUUCAACAUUUCAUCUAAUAUGUGUUAUGAGCCCUUAUUGAAUGAUUUCAACUAUUAUAUUUUUGAAGUGUCUUGUUAUUCGUGCCACAAUUUUUGCUUGUGUAAUCUUUGAUUUUGUUCCUUUUUUUUAAUUCAUUUGUUUAAUACAAGUGUGUAAGAAAUAAGGUUGGAGAUUCAAAAGGGAAGUAGAGGACUUAAAAGAUGAGUGGAGUACAAAGAAAUAAGGUAGGAUUUAUACCCGUCUUUGAUUUUUGUCAUCUUUUUGUUGAUUUAUGUAUUGUUUUUCUUGUCAAUUUAGGAUUAAUUCCUCAUAUUACAUUAGUUUUUAAUAUGGAUAAGGCCUUAUCUUCUUAUGGGGUGAAUUGUUGAGAUUUAAUAUUGGUUUCUAUUUUCAUCUCUAUUGGCUAUACAUGCUCGUAAUUAUGCAAAGCCCAUUUAUUUGCCUAUGGAGGUUUGUUCUUGUUCUCAUAGAGUUAAUAUUGGUUUCUAUUGUAGUUCAACACUCUCAACGUGAAGUUGUGAAUUUUCUUUAAUAUUUAUUAUAUGCUAUUGUAGUUCAAAACUCUCGAUUAUAGAUUACAGCAGAUUGAUAGUGUUGAUUUAAAGUGUGUAACUUAUGUGUUUUUAUUAUGUCUUGCACGAAUCUGAUCUACUAUAGUGGUGAAGCUACCAAGUAAGUGAAGUUACAAAGUUUGUGAGUGAAAAAUGAUAUACUUAAAAAUUUAUUACUAUAUAUUUCUUUUUCUAUUAUAUCUGGAUGUUUUCAUGCUCAUUUCUCUUUAUCCAGAAGGUAGAUAACCAUAUGACUUUUUGUGUGGUCUGCUAACUUACGUGAUAUCAGGGUUUCACCUAAGAUGGAAUUUUCUAGGCCAAUCUUAUGGCAGAUAGCAUGGUUCUUUUGUCUCUUCUCAUUUGAAUUUGGAAUAUCCUUGUGCGUGGGAGAGAAUAUGGUUCGACAUAUUACGCACCUUUGGUUGAAAAAUUACAUAUUCGGGUAGACGUUGGAAUAGCAAAUCAGGUUGUGAAUACACAUAUUUGUAGGCUGGACAACAACCUUUUACCAAGCAAUAGCAAACCAAACUGUCAAAUCCUAGGAUAGUUUAUUGUUAGGAAUUAAAGACAUCUAUAGGAAACAUAGACACUUAAGUUUUGUUAAGGUGCCCAUAAUUGAUGUCAUGAGGUAUUUUGUGGGUUUUGUUGGGUGUUAAAAGCCAUAAAUGUGUGGUAAAAUGCUUGUAGAGCUCUUUGCUAGAAUAGUUUAUUAGUAGGAAUUAAAGACAUCUAAGUUGUUUUUGUGUUAUAGAUUUAUUAAGAUGAAAAUGAUGUUAUUUUUUACUAAGCUGGUAAAUGUGGCAAGUGUUAUCUAAAAUUAGGUACAAUGGAGUGGUAAGUGGAUUUCUAAUUUGAUAUUCUAUUUUGUAGUAGAAGGCGUGGUACCGAUAGUGAUGCUGAGUCGUUAAAACCUCAUUAACAAGACCAUUUCAGAACUUGAAUCCGAACUAAGCCGUCUUGGAAGGCCUGUUGCAAAUGAUGCUAGGGUUUUGCCAUAAUCCAUUGGAGCAGCGAAGCCAUAUUUGCAGCAAUUCAUUGAUGUAUAGGCAUUUUUGUAGGUUUGGUAGGAAAAUUUCUAGUUUAAAUAUAGUUAUUUAAAUAGCUUGUUCGUAACAAACCAUAUAUGUACCAACACUUAAAACAAUACUAUAAAAUGUAUGUUUCUUUAUAUUAAAGCGUUCACCGUUUCUUUCCA